CAUUUUCUUUCUCCAUCACGAAAAAAAAGAGCUCUCGCGAUAUCAAAGGCGAUUCGGCGAUAGGAGAAGGGUGAAGGUAAAUCUGAGCUUUCACGUCAAUAUUUUUGCAUUUGAAGUUGUUGCAUGUUGUUUUCAUCUGUUUUUAGGAUUCUAUCGAGGGUUUAAAUGGAUUUAGGGUUUCAAAUCGAGUUGGAGAUUUUUAUCGAAUUAGGGUUUUCGUAUGGGUUUGCUAUUUUCUUCAUCUCAAUUCGCUUCUUUGUUGUUUUCGUCGUUAUUAAGGUUCGGGAUUGAGUUAUAAAUCCUUAU
rnacentral:lncRNA from 1 species